UCCCAAUAUGUUACAGCGUAAAAAGUAUCAUCUUACGCCCGCCGGCCGACGAGCCCUAUUAAAGAUUAAGAGAAGGUCAUCACUCGCUACUACCAUUUCCACCAUGCUCUGUCUGGAUGCUCCUAUGGUGAAGAAAAUGUCAUCACUUGCUACUACUUCCACCAUGCCCUGUGUCUUGAUGCUCCUUUGAAAAUGUCAUCACCUCACGAUGUCACUACUACUACCACCACCACCAUGCCUCAGUCGCCAUCAAGCGUAGCUGAGCUCAGCUCCGAUCAAGUUUAAAGAUGUGAUUCCUCCACAAGCGGCAUCGUGAUGAUCAACCGCAAUGCC